GACUACCGGGGUAUCUAAUCCUGUUUGCUACCCACGCUUUCGCACCUCAGCGUCAGUCAUGAUCCAGGGGGCCGCCUUCGCCACCGGUGUUCCUCCAGAUAUCUACGCAUUUCACCGCUACACCUGGAAUUCCACCCCCCUCUAUCAGACUCGAGCGCGCUAGUAUCAAAUGCCAUUCCCAGGUUGAGCCCAGGGGUUUCACAUCUGACUUAACGGGCCGCCUACGUGCGCUUUACGCCCAGUGAUUCCGAUUAACGCUUGCACCCUCCGUAUUACCGCGGCUGCUGGCACGGAGUUAGCCGGUGCUUCUUCUGUGGGUAACGUCAGUGAUCCGGGGUAUUGGCCCGGACCCGUUCUUCCCCACUGAAAGUGCUUUACAACCCGCAGGCCUUCUUCACACACGCGGCAUUGCUGGAUCAGGCUUGCGCCCAUUGUCCAAUAUUCCCCACUGCAGCCCCCCGUAGG
rnacentral:rRNA from 1 species